rnacentral:rRNA from 1 species
GACGAACGCUGGCGGCGCGCUUAACACAUGCAAGUCGAACGGAAAGGCCUGCUUUCCCUUGUGGAUUGCGGGUACUCGAGUGGCGAACGGGUGAGUAACACGUGAGUGAUCUGCCCCCAACUUGGGUAUAAGCCUGGGAAACUGGGUCUAAUUCCCGAUAGGACUGCAGGGUGGUGCCUGUGGUGGAAAACGAUUUUCUAGUGGUUGGGGAUGAGCUCGCGGCCUAUCAGCUUGUUGGUGGGGGAAUGGCCUACCAAGGCGGCGACGGGUAGCCGGCCUGAGAGGGUGGACGGCCACAUUGGGACUGAGAGACGGCCCAGACUCCUACGGGAGGCAGCAGUGGGGAAUAGUGCACAAUGGGCGGAAGCCUGAUGCAGCGACGCCGCGUGGGGGAUGACGGCCUUCGGGUUGUAAACUCCUUUCGACCGCGAGGAAGCCACCUGGUUGGAAGGGUGGUGACGGUAGUGGUAGAAGAAGCACCGGCUAACUACGUG